rnacentral:rRNA from 1 species
GAUGAACGCUGGCGGCGUGCCUAAUACAUGCAAGUCGAGCGAACAGACGAGGAGCUUGCUCCUCUGACGUUAGCGGCGGACGGGUGAGUAACACGUGGAUAACCUACCUAUAAGACUGGGAUAACUUCGGGAAACCGGAGCUAAUACCGGAUAAUAUAUUGAACCGCAUGGUUCAAUAGUGAAAGACGGUUUUGCUGUCACUUAUAGAUGGAUCCGCGCCGCAUUAGCUAGUUGGUAAGGUAACGGCUUACCAAGGCAACGAUGCGUAGCCGACCUGAGAGGGUGAUCGGCCACACUGGAACUGAGACACGGUCCGGACUCCUACGGGAGGCAGCAGUAGGGAAUCUUCCGCAAUGGGCGAAAGCUUGACGGAGCAACGCCGCGUGAGUGAUGAAGGUCUUCGGAUCGUAAAACUCUGUUAUUAGGGAAGAACAAAUGUGUAAGUAACUAUACACGUCUUGACGGUACCUAAUCAGAAAGCCACGGCUAACUACGUG